CGAAGGGACCGAGCGGNACCGCCGGCGCCCUUAAGCUANUGCGCUUCUUGGAAUGGUCCGGAACUGUAGGUUACUUGAAAGGUCUCUACCUAACCACGGAAGCCCUUGUAACUCUGUCCACGACGUACCGACAGCAGUCGAGCACAGCACUCUACAACCCAAUUCAGGGCAUUGCUCGCGUUGGGAACAGGAAUCAAUGGUCGUGCAUUACCACCCGUGAGAUUCCUCUGACGGCCACUGUUUGGCCUCCUUCCACCCCUACUGCAGUUCAGUAGUACCGGGAAUGCCGGACCCGAUGUGUGCACGAUGUUACCAGCCAUGUCUCCCAACGGUUCGGCGCUCCACCUCGAUUAGAGUGUUUUGGCUAGCAUCAGGCCUAGCGUCAGACGUUGAGCUGACGCACUUCAGCCUUAGCGAUCANUAGCGCUUAGUNUUACAGCGCCACUUAUGCAAGGGCCCGGAACAUGUGUGGCNUAGUGAUNACUUAAGNGCCGGCGGACGUCCAGCUGGUAUACCCUCUCGAGGGUUGCGCAACCCUACGUANNGANCUNANAAGANAUCACNGUGGAUUUNANCGAAACCGNANNAGUACCAANUAUCGGACAAAGGACACACUUUAACAAUAGGGNGAAGUNUUAA
rnacentral:rRNA from 1 species